rnacentral:rRNA from 1 species
UACGGGGGGGAGCAAGCGUUGUUCGGAUUUACUGGGCGUAAAGGGCGCGUAGGCGGUCAGCACAAGUCAGUUGUGAAAUCUCCGGGCUUAACUCGGAAAGGUCAACUGAUACUGUGCGACUAGAGUGCGGAAGGGGCAACUGGAAUUCUCGGUGUAGCGGUGAAAUGCGUAGACAUCGAGAGGAACACCUGCGGCGAAGGCGGGUUGCUGGGCCGACACUGACGCUGAUGCGCGAAAGCCAGGGGAGCGAACGGG